GCAAUCCUUCUACCUUGGCCUCUCCGAAUGCUGGGAUUACAGGUGUGAGCCACUGAGCCUGGCCUGGUUUAUGCAUAUAUGUCUGCUCCAUGAAUUUUCAUCUGGCUGCUUGAAUUAUGGUCUUCACCUGGCAAAGAUCUGCAGUGCCAAGAAGAUUGGUGGAAACUCCAUACUUCUUAAAACUUUAACCGGAGAAAAGACAGUCUGAAGAAGCUGGCAGGCUGAAGCAAUGGAUUGAUUGAACUCAACCACUCAAGCUAGGAGUACCUUUACUGGCAGGUG
rnacentral:lncRNA from 13 species